rnacentral:rRNA from 1 species
UGUGGGAAUCUGCCUUUUGGUUCGGAAUAACACGAGGAAACUUGUGCUAAUACCGGAUAAGCCCUUACGGGGAAAGUUUUAAUGCCAAAAGAUGAGCCCGCACUUGAUUAGCUAGUUGGUAAGGUAAUGGCUUACCAAGGCAACGAUCAAUAGCUGUUCUUAGAGGAAGACCAGCCACAUUGGGACUGAGACACGGCCCAAACUCCUACGGGAGGCAGCAGUGGGGAAUCUUGCACAAUGGGGGAAACCCUGAUGCAGCGAUGCCGCGUGAGUGAAGAAGGCCCUUGGGUUGUAAAACUCUUUCGUCGGGGAAGAAAAUGACUGUACCCGAAUAAGAAGGUCCGGCUAACUUCGUGCCAGCAGCCGCGGUAAUACGAAGGGACCUAGCGUAGUUCGGAAUUACUGGGCUUAAAGAGUUCGUAGGUGGUUGAAAAAGUUAGUGGUGAAAUCCCAGAGCUUAACUCUGGAACUGCCAUUAAAACUUUUCAGCUAGAGUAUGAUAGAGGAA